GACGAACGCUGGCGGCGUGCUUAACACAUGCCAGUCGAACGGCAAGGCCCUGCUGUUGUGGGGUGCUCGAGUGGCGAACGGGUGAGUAACACGUGAGUAACCUGCCCUUGACUUUGGGAUAACUUCAGGAAACUGGGGCUAAUACCGGAUAGGAGCUCCUGCUGCAUGGUGGGGGUUGGAAAGUGUCGGCGGGCGGGGAUGGACUCGCGGCUUAUCAGCGUGUUGGUGGGGUAGUGGCUUACCAAGGCUUUGACGGGUAGCCGGCCUGAGAGGGUGACCGGGCACAUGGGGACUGAGGUAGGGCCCAGACUGCUACGUGAGGCAGCAGUGGGGAAUAUUGCACAACGGGCGGAAGCCUGAUGCAGCAACGCCGGGUGCGGGAUGACCGCCUUCGGGUUAUAAACCGCUUUCGCCUGUGACGAAGCGUGAGUGACGGUAAUGGGUAAAGAAGCACCGGCUAACUACGUG
rnacentral:rRNA from 1 species